rnacentral:misc_RNA from 1 species
CUUAGGCUGCAGUAAGUUGGAUGGUGAUUAGCGCUGUUAUCCAAAUACAACUCUAUUAAUUUGUGAAAUUCAAUCAGCUGGCAUUUUUGGAUUAACAAAUAACAGCAAUGAAUGCUUCAUUAACGGGACCAUACAGUUGCUGCUAGCUCUUCAAAAUUUAGUAGAAAUUUUCGCGAUUGCCAGCAAUCAAACGUCACAAACUGGCAUUUUUGGAUUAUCAAAUAACGGCAAUGAAUGCUUCAUUAACGGGACCAUACAGUUGCUGCUAGCUCAACAAAAUUCAGUAGAAUAUUUUCGCGAUUGCCAGCAAUCAAACGUCACAAAGGGGAUUGUUGGAAUUAUCGGUCAAGGAAAUAAAUUGUAAUAACCAACUGUUACGAGGAGAGGAAUGCGCGAGACCCAACAAGAAUAAAUGGCUCCUGCAGGAUUCUAACAUUGAGAAAUUGCAGCAAAAAUUGGCA